ACAAAUGUGAUUCCCUUAGUAACGGCGAGUGAAACGGGAGAAGCCCAUCGCUGAACCUCCAGUCCUGCGGGCUGUGACGGAAUGUAGCGUAUAGAAGUGUUGUGCCAAGGCUCGGUCUGCCUGUUAAGUCCAACUUGACAGUGGUAAUAUCCCGUAGAGGGUGAUAGGCCCGUAAGUGGGUAGAUCGGACUUGCUAACAUCUUCUGAGAGUAGGAUUGCUUGAAAGUGCAGUCUGAAGCGCGAGGUAAACUCCUCGUAAGGCUAAAUAUCACCCCGAGACCGAUAGCUAACAAGUACAGUGAUGGAAACUUGAAAAGAACUUUGAAGAGAGAGUUAAAAGUAUGUGAAACCGUUUGGAUGUAAACGCAGCCUUCCGCGAAUUUAAGCUCGGCGGAUCCAGCUUGGGCGCGGGGCGGCCUUUCCUAGUUCGGAGCAGGGAUGCCCGGCUGGGGGAGUGUCCGACUCGUGUCCCGGGUGAAGCUCUGUCGGGCGUUACGGUUGGAACUGUUGGGACCGGAUCGAAGGCCCGGGUGUUGGGGGACUCCAUACCAUUCGUUUGGCAGGGGUCUCUGCCCCGGUGUCCUGACUUCGGACCCGACAGGCAUAUGGGCGUCUGUUUAAGAGACAGCGGCUCUCCGGAGCCGUGGGCGCCCGUUCCCUUCCGAGUAGGUCGUGAAGGCUGCGACCCGUCUUGAAACACGGACCAAGGAGUCUAACAUGUAUGCAAGUCGUUGGGUUGUCUAAACCCGUAGGCGCAGUGAAAGCAAAGGGUGACUGAUCCUUACCCUAGGGACGAUGGUGUAACAGCCCGCAAUCCCGCCACUUCCAGUCAGUUAGAGUCUGUUGGGAGUAGGUAGAGCAUAAAUGUUGGGACCCGAAAGAUGGUGAACUAUGCCUGGCCAGGUUGAAGUCAGGAAAAUCCCUGAUGGAGGAACCGUAGCGAUUCUGACGUGCAAAUCGAUCGUCGGAGCCGGGUAUAGGGGCGAAA
rnacentral:rRNA from 1 species